rnacentral:rRNA from 1 species
CCUACGGGUGGCAGCAGUGAGGAAUAUUGCGCAAUGGACGGAAGUCUGAACGAGCCAUGCCGCGUGCAGGAAUGCAGCUCUAUGAGUUGUAAACUGCUUUUGUACAAGGGUAAACCUGAAUACGUGUAUUCAGCUGAAAGUACUGUACGAAUAAGGAUCGGCUAACUCCGUGCCAGCAGCCGCGGUAAUACGGAGGAUCCAAGCGUUAUCCGGAUUUAUUGGGUUUAAAGGGUGCGUAGGCGGGUGGAUGAGUUAGAGGUGAAAUGUCCGGGCUUAACUCGGGAACUGCCUUUAAUACUGUUGGUCUAGAGAGUAGGUGAGGUAGGCGGAAUGUAUGGUGUAGCGGUGAAAUGCUUAGAGAUCAUAAAGAACACCGAUUGCGAAGGCAGCUUACCAAUCUAUAUCUGACGUUGAGGCACGAAAGCGUGGGGAGCAAACAGGAUUAGAUACCCCGGUAGUC